GACGAACGCUGGCGGCGUGCUUAACACAUGCAAGUCGAACGGAAGCGCCUUCUUUCCCUUGUGGAUUGCGGGUACUCUAGUGGCGAACGGGUGAGUACCACGUGAUUGAUCUUCCCCCAACUUGUGUCUAAGCCUGGGAAACUCGGUCUAAUUCCCGAUCGUACUGCAGGGUGGUGCCUGUGUUGGAAAACUAUUUUCUAGUGUUUGGGGAUGAGCUCGGGGCCUAUCAGCUUGUUGGUGGGGUAAUAGCCUACCAAGGCGGCGACGGGUAGCCGGCCUGGGAGGGCGGACGGCCACAUUGGAACCGGGCUACGGCCCAGACGGCGACGGGAGGCAGGAGUGGGGAACAAUGCGCGAUGGGCGGAAGCAUGAUGCCGCGACGGCGGGUGAGGGAUGACGGCCUGCGGGGUGUAAUCUCCGUGCGAGAGAGAGGAAGGCAUCUGGUUGGAAGGGUGGGGAGGGUAGUGGUAGAAGAAGCACCGGCUAACUACGG
rnacentral:rRNA from 1 species